AGCAUCACUUUUAAACACUAGGAUCUUUCCCAGGUCUUACAAAAUUUGAUCUAAUGCUCGAUACUUGUUGUGCAGAUAAUUCUUUUGGUGGGGACAAAAGAAUUAAAAAACUGAAGAUUCGCAGCCGGCUUGUACCAGAUGAAGUUGAGAUUUAUUUUGAAAACCUUGUUCCCCUUCGUGAAUCGUGAUGAUGGUGAGUGACGGAAGAGAAGUUGAAGAAGAACAAUAUAAAGUAGAGAAGGCAAGUAAUUGUUCUUUUCAUUCCAAUGCCUAAUUUCUUUACAUUGCGUUACUCAAUCUUGCUUGGCAUUGUUUCUUUGAAAUUUUGAUCCUUUAAGUGACAUGAUCGAAUAUAUUUUUUGCAGUAAGAGUUGGUCUCUUUGGUGUUGUAUAGGGCUAUGAAGUAUUUUCUCUAUCACAUUGCAAGUCCUAAGGUCAGUAUCAGGCUCUCACCUACUAGCAGUACAUUUUACAAGAGGUUUUUAUUUUUUAUUUUUCUUAGAGAUAUUUUCCUGUCCAAGAGGUUCACACUGUUGACUGGUGCUAUAAGAAACUUGAAGAAGUAACAACGUAGGAGCAAGAUGGAGAAGUAGGUUAAUAAAUUUUUGGCAGCAUCUUUUUUAAGUGGACUUGAUUUAUUUCCUUUUUACUUGGUUUAUCGGCUAGCUUAUGUGGUCAGGAUUUUGUUGUCCUACAUGAGAUUUCUCCUGUUUUUACUAAUUUCCAUCUCCGCCAAACUAUAAAACAGCAUGAUUUCUUUUGAAAUUUCUCAAAUCUCAUAAAAAGUGGUUAUAUGGAGAUUUUGGGCGAUGAGUUAGGCUUGUCAAUAAUCUCACUGAAAUCUUAGGAAAAAAAAAAAAAGACUUUUAUCACUUAUGCGCCAUCCCCAUCCUGCUGAUUGAUGCAAAAGAUUUUUUUUUUUUUUUUGCUUGGAAGGUGAUGCAAAAGUUUACUCUCAUUUACUAUUAUUAUUUUUUUGGGUGGUAACACUCUCCACCCACUUCAGGGGUGGGACAAUUCCCUUAGGCCAAAAGGCAAAAGUUAUGUAAUCCAUUCAGUUGACCUAUCAUAUAAUCUAUAUAAUCUCUGAUCUAAUUCAGCAACUGUCAGAUUUGGGAUUCAGAGUUUUUUGCUUACCAUUGGUACUGAAUAGUAAAGGGAUUUAUCUCACUCGGCUAGCAUUCUUGGUUUGAAUUUUCGUUCUAAAUAGCAUUGUCCAUGUAAUAAACUCCGUUUCAAUUAUUUGUAUCUCUUAUUUUAUUUUUAUUUCACUCAUAUUGUUUUUCCCUCACAGAAUGCAUUUCAAAUUGCCUUCUUUGUAUGGGCAUGGGUAAGUUAUUAGCUUUUCCUUUUCAAUGUUCUAAUGAAAGCUUUAGUAUUUCUCAUUUUAUUUUUAUUUCACUCAUAUUGUUUUUCCUCACAGAAUGCAUUUCAAAUCGCCUUCUUUGUAUGGGCAUGGGGCUCUGAGAAUCAUCUAAUGCCAAGGACUGACUCUUGAUUACUUCAGGACAACUUCAUUUACAUCUCCAUCUGUGUACUUGAAAGCCUUGACUUUAAUGUGUUUUAAGAACAUAAUGUGUUUUAAGUACUAUUUCCUUAAUUCGUUGCAUGUAUUUUGUUUGUAUUUUGUUCACAAAUAUUAGAAAGAAAAAAAAAAGUUUGAAGUUUGAUGAGUUCUUUUGAAGAAACUAGUAGUUAUGUUACCUUUGGAAUUGUAUGCUUACAUUGUGAAAAAUUCUUUUGAUUGUACAAUUUGGAUGGUAUUUUUAAUUUGAACAUGGUACAA